rnacentral:sRNA from 1 species
UGUGCUUAUGGACAGGCACAGCCGACAAGGAUGACGGCCAGGACAGCUGCGGGAUGUGGCUUCAUCAGGACGAUGAGCGGAAAUAGAGGGAGCAUGGAAGGAGGCGGGCGGGGCUUAACCCCCGCCCCUUUUUU